AUUAAACGCUGGCGGCAUGCCUUACACAUGCAAGUCGAACGGCAGCACGGGGGCAACCUUGGUGGCGAGUGGCGAACGGGUGAGUAAAGCAUCGGAACGUGCCCUGGAGUGGGGGAUAACGUAGCGAAAGUUACGCUAAUACCGCAUAUUCUGUGAGCAGGAAAGCAGGGGAUCGCAAGACCUUGCGCUCUGGGAGCGGCCGAUGUCGGAUUAGCUAGUUGGUGGGGUAAAGGCCUACCAAGGCGACGAUCCGUAGCGGGUCUGAGAGGAUGAUCCGCCACACUGGGACUGAGACACGGCCCAGACUCCUACGGGAGGCAGCAGUGGGGAAUAUUGGACAAUGGGCGCAAGCCUGAUCCAGCCAUGCCGCGUGGGUGAAGAAGGCCUUCGGGUUG
rnacentral:rRNA from 1 species